GUGGGGAAUCUUGCGCAAUGGGCGAAAGCCUGACGCAGCCAUGCCGCGUGAAUGAUGAAGGUCUUAGGAUUGUAAAAUUCUUUCACCGGGGACGAUAAUGACGGUACCCGGAGAAGAAGCUCCGGCUAACUUCGUGCCAGCAGCCGCGGUAAUACGAAGGGGGCUAGCGUUGCUCGGAAUUACUGGGCGUAAAGGGCGCGUAGGCGGACAGCUUAGUCAGAGGUGAAAGCCCAGGGCUCAACCUUGGAAUUGCCUUUGAUACUGGCUGUCUUGAGUUUGGGAGAGGUGGGUGGAACUCCGAGUGUAGAGGUGAAAUUCGUAGAUAUUCGGAAGAACACCAGUGGCGAAGGCGACUCACUGGCCCAAUACUGACGCUGAGGCGCGAAAGCGUGGGGAGCAAACAGGAUUAGAUACCCUUGUAGUCC
rnacentral:rRNA from 1 species